rnacentral:tRNA from 1 species
GUUCUGGUAGCUCAGCAGGAUAGAGCAAUGCCCUUCUAAGGCAUCGGUCCGGGGUUCGAAUCCCUGUCAGAACGCCA